UACGGGAUAAUAUAUUUGAGAGGCAUCUCUUGAAUAUCAAAGGUGAGCCAGUACAGGAUGGACCCGCGUCUGAUUAGCUAGUUGGUAAGGUAACGGCUUACCAAGGCGACGAUCAGUAGCCGACCUGCGAGGGUGAUCGGCCACAUUGGAACUGAGACACGGUCCAAACUCCUACGGGAGGCAGCAGUGGGGAAUAUUGCACAAUGGGCGAAAGCCGGAUGCAGCAACGCCGCGUGAGGGAUGAAGGCCUUCGGG
rnacentral:rRNA from 1 species